rnacentral:rRNA from 1 species
CAGCAGCCGCCGCGGUAAAACGGAGGGUGCAAGCGUUAAUCGGAAUUACUGGGCGUAAAGCGCACGCAGGCGGUUUGUUAAGUCAGAUGUGAAAUCCCCGAGCUUAACUUGGGAACUGCAUUUGAAACUGGCAAGCUAGAGUCUUGUAGAGGGGGGUAGAAUUCCAGGUGUAGCGGUGAAAUGCGUAGAGAUCUGGAGGAAUACCGGUGGCGAAGGCGGCACCCUGGACGAAGACUGACGCUCAGGUACGAAAGCGUGGGGAGCAAACAGGAUUAGAUACCCGGGUAGUCCCUGUCUCUUAUAC